rnacentral:rRNA from 1 species
AACGAACGCUGGCGGCAUGCUUAACACAUGCAAGUUGAACGCAGAAUAGAACUUCGGUUCUAUUGCUGAGUAGCAGACGGGUGAGCAACGCGUGGGAAUCUACCUUCUUGUGAGGAAUAACUGAGGGAAACUUCAGCUAAUACCGCAUAAGCUCUACGGAGGAAAGGCUUCGGCCGCAGGAAGAGGAGCCCGCGUCAGAUUAGGUAGUUGGUGGGGUAAAGGCCUACCAAGCCAAUGAUCUGUAGCUGGUCUGAGAGGAUGAUCAGCCACACCGGGACUGAGACACGGCCCAGACUCCUACGGGAGGCAGCAGUGGGGAAUAUUGGACAAUGGGGGAAACCCUGAUCCAGCAAUGCCGCGUGAAUGAAGAAGGCCUUAGGGUUGUAAAGUUCUUUCACCUGUGAAGAUAAUGACGGUAGCAGGAGAAGAAGCCCCGGCUAACUCCGUGCCAGCAGCCGCCGUAA